rnacentral:rRNA from 1 species
CGUGAGCAACCUGCCUUUCAGAGGGGGAUAACAGUUGGAAACGACUGCUAAUACCGCAUAACGCUGCGAUGGGGCAUCCCGAUGCAGCCAAAGGAGCAAUCCGCUGGAAGAUGGGCUCGCGGCCGAUUAGCUAGUUGGUGGGGCAACGGCCCACCAAGGCGACGAUCGGUAGCCGGACUGAGAGGUUGAUCGGCCACAUUGGGACUGAGAUACGGCCCAGACUCCUACGGGAGGCAGCAG